rnacentral:rRNA from 1 species
GCUUACUACCACACCGGCCUGAGUACGCCUGAUCUCAUCUGAUCUCAGAAGCUAAGCAGGGUCGGGCCUGGUUAGUACUUGGAUGGGAGACCGCCUGGCAAUACCAGGUGCUGUAAGCU